CCAAUAGCGUAUAUUAAAGUUGUUGCAGUUAAAAAGCUCGUAGUUGAAUUUCGGGGUCAGUAGGUCGGUCGUGCCACUGGUAUGAACUGGUUUUACUGAUUCCUCACUCUUGAAGAACUGUAAUGCCAUUAAUUUGGUGUUGCAGGGAAUCAGGACUGUUACUUUGAAAAAAUUAGAGUGUUUAAAUCAGGCUUUAGCUUGAAUACAUUAGCAUGGAAUAAUGAAAUAGGACGUUUGAUCCUAUUUUGUUGGUUUCUAGGAUUGACGUAAUGAUUAAUAGGGAUAGUUGGGGGCAUUAGUAUUCAAUUGUCAGAGGUGAAAUUCUUGGAUUUAUUGAAGACUAACUACUGCGAAAGCAUUUGCCAAGGAUGUUUUCAUUAAUCAAGAACGAAAGUUAGGGGAUCGAAGACGAUCAGAUACCGUCGUAGUCUUAACCAUAAACUAUGCCGACUAGGGAUCGGAUGAUGUUAAUUUUUUAAUGACUCAUUCGGCGCCUUACG
rnacentral:rRNA from 1 species